ACCAACCAGGACCAGAUGUGAGCUGGUAGUGUUUUGUGGUGGUGUUCAUAAGAAAAUAGCUUUAGGGUUGUUUGAGCCUUUUGUUUCUCACCUCAAGUUUGUGAAAGAUGAGAUCUCUAAAGGUGGAUACUCAAUUAAGCUUCUCCCUCCAAACAAUUCUGCAUUCUGGUUCUCCAAGGCCACCUUUGAAAGGAGGUUCAAGCUUCACCUAAGGAGGCCGCUGAAACAGUGGUUUUGGUCAUUGAUGAGAAAGGUGUGGAGUCACUCAUAUCAGAGCUUGUGAAAGGUGUCAAUGAGCCAAAGCUAUUUUGGUCUUCACACGAACAGUUUUCUUGUUCUU